GAGCUGGGAAGCGGAUGUCGCUGUGAGGGGAGGUCUCCCACACUGAAGAUGUGAACAGAAACAUCUGUACGCGGGUUGUCUGUGGACCCUGCCGGUCCCGUGGUCACAGGAGGCACGGUCACGGGGUUUUCUGUUGUGGCCGGUUGGCCAGUUGACCGACGCCUUUCCUGGUGGCUGGUCUGAUGACCGGCUCUGCUUUGGGGGCUGCAGAGAGGAGAUCGCGGCACGUUCUCGGGGUCGGGUUUAAUCUUGAGCUCCCGUCCCUCCUCUCUUCAAGCAAGUCCUGACAGAAGAAAGUUAGGAAGUCGCUAAAGACCACCCACAAAGCAAGGAAUGCAGGUGCAGGGGCGGCAGCGAAGGCUCUGGGAGCAGCGGCCGUCGCGGAGUCAGUCCUUGGAGCUGCCACGUGGCUGAGUCUUCCCUCUGACGCAGGCGCCCUGGGGAGACUGUGCCGCUCGUGGCCUGUGUAGUGGCCGCCCCGGAAGCUCGCUCCGCAGAAAGCCUGGUUUGGGAGGCUCAUGUGUACGUGGAAGAUUUACUCUGUCAACAGGCCUCUUUCUGCUCUGAGGCCAGAUGCCCGGGACAGAGCAGUGCCGUGCUGGGGGGCAGCCACGUGAACGCCCAUCUUUCCUUGGCUCCAGGGGUAGAGUUUCUUACUUACGCUUCAGAACGCCCGGGAGCAUUCACCCCAGAGAAGGCAGGCCAGACUCUGGGCCGGGCCCCGGGCCUGGUGGCGGAACGAGCUAUUUUGGGUCUCCUUUGGGACAGGCGGCCGGGAGGAGGCCCUUCUUAUCUGCAGCCACACCUGCCUCGGCAUGGCAGGCUGCGGGCACGGCUGCCCACUCCGUUGGGGCCUGCCCCUGAGUCAGCCCUGUUUCCCAGAACUGCUGGGUGGAUCCGGUUCUCGGGUUACCAUUUUGGUCGUUGGCAACAAUGUGAACCUUGGUGACCGUGAACAGCGGGUUCCCAUCACCCCCACGGCUCUGGGUAACUUGCAGGGCGUGGCCCUCACCUUUUUUUCUGUGCGUGUUUGUAAAAUGUAAUAUUGUAAAAUGUUAACGUCCGUUUUUGUGAUUUAUUAAUUUUUAAAGUCAAAGUAGCACGUGUAUUUAGAACGUCAAAUAAUACUACAGAUGUUCUAAUAAAAGUCAGUAGCCUCCUAUCCGUCCUGAGUCACGCACUCGAAAGGCAACCACUUGUAAUUCUUUCCACUGUGAUUCUCUUUCUGAUUUCUAAAUAACACGUCUUAUUGUUAUUUCUUGGAUUCUCAACUUUAGACGCUAUUGGCUGCUUCUUGGUGGUCUGGGUAGCCCCUCCCCCAGCCUCCCCCCUAGCUCUUGCCACGAGUGUCAGAUCAUAACGUUGGUCAAAGAUUCAGAGUCCCCGUUGUUGUUACUAUCAUGCUUAUCGCUGGUAUUUCAGAUUCUGCACCAAAAUUGAUAAACCCCUCUGAAAACAGGGUCAUAAGUGUGAGGCCAUCUGCCGCUCCCACUUCCUGGAAGAUGCCCCUCAGAUCCUUCCGUCCGUCCACCUGCAUCAGUUGUGCAGCCCGGGCUGGCCUGCCUCCCUCUGUGCGGGUCCUCCUGCAUCCCCCGUGUCUGCGUGUUCCCUGACCGCAGGCCUGCCAGCUCGGAGCAGCCCCGGGUGGUGCACUGCUCACUGGGUCCACGGCGAGUGGGCUCAGCUGGGCCCUGAGCUUGGGAGUUGCUGUCAGGUCUGCUUCCCUCUCUGGAGGCUCUGUGGAGGCUCUGCUUCCAGCUCUUUCAGGGGUUUGGCGGAAUCCAGUUCCUGUGGUUUGGAGGGCUGGGGCCCUGUUUUCCUGCUGGCUGUGAGCCGGCGCCACCCUCGGCUCCUGGAGGGCGUCUUCAGAGCCAGCCGCGGGCGGUCUCACGCGUUGGAUCCCUCUUGCUUUGAAACUUGAUGGCCAGAGUUAGCCCCGUCCUGAUUCAGGGCUCGCCUGAUUAGGUCAGGCCCACCGAGGGUCACGUCCUUCAGGUCGCCGUACUGUGUGAUGUGACCUAACCCCAGAGUGAAAUCCACCCGCCACAGGCCCAGGGUCGUGCAACCGUGAUUGCCAGGGGCAGGGCCGUGGGGUGUCUUGGAGCCGUCUCCGCCUCGUGCCUGCCGUGGGGCUGAGCGUCGUCUCCGCCUCGUGCCUGCCGUGGGGCUGAGCGUCGUCUCCACCUCGUGCCUGCCGUGGGGCUGAGCAUCUUGCUCUUGACUUAUUCUUGGUUCGCUGGGACCAGACCCCCUCCAGCCUCAAGGAAGGGCAGGAGGUCUGGAGGCCCUGCGUCCAGCGUUCGGUGGCUGCUGAGCGAGCGCCAGCCGCGUGCGCGAUGGAGGUCUUGGCCCCGUCUCCAGGGUGUCUGUGUGGCGGGUGGGAGCCGGUCAGCUCUACUCUUCCUUCCUCUGCGUGGUCUGUUUCCUCCUCCCUGAUUCCAUCUGGAAUUUCACGGCUCGCUUUGAUGCACGUCUUUCCCCAUUCGCUGUGCCUGGCACGUGGAAGCUGGAGUUUCUGGAAGUUUUCUGGAUUGUUUUGGUCGAUUUCCCCCCCGCGUUUUGUCUUUUCUCUUUCUGCACCUCCUGUUGGCUGUCGGACCUGCUUUCUGAGAGAUGUUUAAAUUUCCCAGCUAGACGCCUGUUCUCAGGUUACCCGUCGCGGCGUCCUGUUGUGCUCCUGGCCCUCCGAGGGCCGUGUUACAGGGCUCUCUCUUUUCAAGCUCCUCUCCUUCCUUCACCCUCUCUUACUUUUCCGGCUUCUGUUUCGGUCUCUGUCGUUCACGUCGCAGGCUUUCCUCACGUCCCCGUCAGCGGCCCUGGGAGGCUGCUCUGUGCCUGGCGGGUCGUGGCCGCCCCUCGUGCCCAGCGUCCCGGGAGCCAAGGGCGUGGGGCCAGGACAGCGGCCCUGCUCCUCGGCUCCUCGGCUCGGGCUUCUCGGCUCCAGCGGCUCGCUCCCCUCCCUGCCCCGCCCCCUCCCCGCACUCGGCCUCAUCCUUCCAGCUGUCCUUCCAGCUGUGUGCCGUCCUCUGAGCAUUCGGUGCUGUCUCUCCCAGUUGUAUUUCCUUUGUUCUUCUUGUUUCUGCCGUCGCAUGCGGGGCUUCCCGAAGGAGCAGAGGUGAGGGCGUGUUUCCGGCCAGCCUGCGUGGUCCUCUGCAGUCGCCCGCGCGGCCGCCACUCCCAUGUGGUGGGCAUUCUGUGCCACAGGAGACACUGUCUGUCUUCCCUGUGUCGCGCACGGCCACGCUCCAGCGCCAGCGGGCCGCGACUGUGUCCCCUGUGUGUCCCUGAGGCCGUGCACAGAACUCUCCAGAAGCCUCCCUGCUCAUCAGGGG